rnacentral:rRNA from 1 species
CCGGCACGGGUGAGUAACACGUAUCCAACCUGCCGUCUACUCUUGGACAGCCUUCUGGAAGGAAGAUUAAUACAAGAUGGCAUCAUGAGUCCGCAUGUUCACAUGAUUAAAGGUAUUCCGGUAGACGAUGGGGAUGCGUUCCAUUAGAUAGUAGGCGGGGUAACGGCCCACCUAGUCUUCGAUGGAUAGGGGUUCUGAGAGGAAGGUCCCCCACAUUGGAACUGAGACACGGUCCAA